rnacentral:rRNA from 1 species
GAUGAACGCUAGCUACAGGCCUAACACAUGCAAGUCGAGGGGAAACGGCAGCUUAGCUUGCUAAGCUGGACGUCGACCGGCGCACGGGUGAGUAACGCGUAUCCAACCUGCCCCACGGUGAGGGAUAACCCGCGGAAACGCGGCCUAAUACCUCAUGGCCUCCGAGCUUGACAUCAACCUUGGAGUAAAGAUUCAUUGCCGUGGGAUGGGGAUGCGUCUGAUUAGCUUGUUGGCGGGGCAACGGGCCCACCAAGGCAACGAUCAGUAGGGGUUCUGAGAGGAAAGCCCCCCCACAUUGGAACUGAGACACGGUCCAAACUCCUACGGGAGCA